AAUGGACCUAACAUAUUGGGAACCUUUUCAUGGACUAUCCUCAUAAUGGAUGUCAAAUUCUUGCAUUCAGAGGCUACUGAGACCAUGGGCAAGAAGGAAUCAACAUUGGUACCAAUGCUGAAAUAUUUUUUGCAAGUCUCAAGCAUGGUUUCUUUCUGAUUGUGAGGAUGAAUUUUACAAAGAGGAUGUUUGAGAAGGUAAUCACAUAACUAUACAUGUUUUCUAAGCAUCUAAGAGGAUUACGUGUUCAGUUUCGUGCUGCAAUUUUAGAGCUUGAUUCUAGAAGUAAGGGUGCCCUCCUUUGAUAUACCUGGUUUGUGAAGAGGUGAUCGUGUGGCUGAAGAAUGAUGUUAAUGGUUGGAAGUGUUCCAACCAGGAAGCAUUCGGGUGGUGCCUGCGUUGGACACCGUGUUUUUUACGAUGAGACCAUUCAUGUGGAACUUUUCGGGGAGCAGAGUAAGAGCGAGCAAAACUAUGGGUUGAAUUUGUUGUGCUAAAGGGACCGACAUAAUGCAUUGUUGAGUUCUGAAUUCAUCAAGUUUGUGUCAGCUGUGCUGGAAGGUCAGUGUGCAGAAUUUGUGAAGUGUUAUAUACACAAACCAGUACAUUCUUCUUUCGGAAGGAGCUGUUUGCUUUGCUGGUGCUAAGGCACUUUGGAAUAGCUGGGUGCCAUUGAACUGCAAUUCAUUUGCUUGGCUUCGCAACAUCGAGUAUGGACAUCGGAUCGUCGGGUCAGAAGAGAGCUGCAGGUACAUAUUUGGCCCUGUUUUCUCUGAGCAGGAAGAGGACAUUGCGACCUCAUCCCGCUUCAGUGCGUAUAUACUCGACAGGUAUGGUAUCGAUGUCUUCGAUCGACUCAUCUUGAUGCUGUCCCUGCCCCUUCUGUCAUCGAUAAUAUUCCGGAUUGGUGGGGAGGUCUCGCCAGUUCAUUUCCAAAGCUAAAUAAUGUGGUUUUGAUUCUCUUGUGAUGCUUGUGUGCUAUAGCCUAUGAAAGCAACACAAUGCUAGGGCGUUCAACAAUGCUCAGCUUCAAGUCAACGAGGCAACACUCUGUGUUCUCAUUCUUUGUGACCUAAUUGCAUGAGGAAAUAGGAUGGCUGGAUUAUGUGAGUAGUCAUUGUGAUAUGUGUUGGUGGUGGAGCGUGGAUGUCGUCCCCCUUUGGGGUGCUCUUGUAACUUGUGUUCUCUUCUAUAAAAUUAUGGUACAAAUUUGCAUACUCUCCAUAAAAAUAUACACAAACCAAAGAGAAAUUAUAUCACUGCCCUUACACAAUUUAUUGCAGGU